UGGGGAAUAUUGGACAAUGGGCGAAAGCCUGAUCCAGCCAUGCCGCGUGUGUGAAGAAGGUCUUCGGAUUGUAAAGCACUUUAAGUUGGGAGGAAGGGCAGUAAGCGAAUACCUUGCUGUUUUGACGUUACCGACAGAAUAAGCACCGGCUAACUCUGUGCCAGCAGCCGCGGUAAUACAGAGGGUGCAAGCGUUAAUCGGAAUUACUGGGCGUAAAGCGCGCGUAGGUGGUUCGUUAAGUUGAAUGUGAAAGCCCCGGGCUCAACCUGGGAACUGCAUCCACAACUGGGGAGCUAGAGUAGGGCAGAGGGUGGUGGGAUUUCCUGUGUAGCGGUGAAAUGCGUAGAUAUAGGAAGGAACACCAGUGGCGAAGGCGACCACCUGGGCUCAUACUGACACUGAGGUGCGAAAGCGUGGGGAGCAAACAGG
rnacentral:rRNA from 1 species